rnacentral:rRNA from 1 species
GAUGAACGCUGGCGGCGUGCCUAAUACAUGCAAGUCGAGCGAACAGACGAGGAGCUUGCUCCUCUGACGUUAGCGGCGGACGGGUGAGUAACACGUGGAUAACCUACCUAUAAGACUGGGAUAACUUCGGGAAACCGGAGCUAAUACCGGAUAAUAUAUUGAACCGCAUGGUUCAAUAGUGAAAGACGGUUUUGCUGUCACUUAUAGAUGGAUCCGCGCCGCAGUAGCUAGUUGGUAAGGUAACGGCUUACCAAGGCAACUAUGCGUAGCCGGCAUGAGGGGGUGAUCGGCCACACUGGAACUGAGACACGGUCCAGACUCCUACGGGAGGCAGCAGUAGGGAAUCUUCCGCAAUGGGCGAAAGCCUGACGGAGCAACGCCGCGUGAGUGAUGAAGGUCUUCGGAUCGUAAAACUCUGUUAUUAGGGAAGAACAAAUGUGUAAGUAACUAUGCACGUCUUGACGGUACCUAAUCAGAAAGCCACGGCUAACUACGUG